GGCAAAAAAAUUUUACCUUUGCAAUAGAUGUUAACUGCAACAAUUUCACCUUUAUUGCAACAUUGCGGUUCGAGCCAUUCAAAAUUCGCAAAACCAAUCUCUAAUAACAUAUAUUGGCUGAGACAGAUGCUUUACAAUUUGCAAUUGGCAAUCAUCAUUACUUUUUAUCCCCAAGUGCUCUUGGAAAGAGAAAAGCAAACCACGGAGGUCAAAGAAUAGGAACUUGAAGGACAAAAUACACCUUACAUAUCAUUUGUACAAGCAUUAGUUAAUGGAUUAGUAAGGUGUGAAGAAUUAGGGGAGUAAAUGAAAAUUUCUAUUUGUACAAGCUAUAUGACAGUACUAGUGACUUCAUUCAUGAUCACGUAUCAUUUUUGAAUGUUUAAAAUAUCAAUGAUUUAACU